GGCUUGCUGGUCUAGUGGUAUGAUUCUCGCUUCGGGUGCGAGAGGUCACGGGUUCGAUUCCCGUGCAAGCCU
rnacentral:tRNA from 1 species